CUCUCUCCUUUUUCUUCUUUUCUUUACUCUCCUCCCUCUUUCUUUUUCUCUCCUCUUCUGUUAAAUCUGGAUCUGUAGAAAUCAAAUAAAAUUUACCGAAAAAUCAGAAAGUAUCUUCUCAUAGAUCAAAACCAUAUUUCAAGAAAUCAAACCCAAUCUUCACUAAACCAAAAUUCGUUUGCAACCCUAGAUAUGUGAUUUUCUCCUUCAUAAAUUCUAGCAAACUAAACUAUUCUCUCUAAUCUCUACUUGAAUUCUAUCCAAUCGAAGGAGAUGAGUUUAUCAAGUACAGAUGCAGAAUGAAAUGAAUGAUGAAGAUACAAGAGAAGAAAAAGACGCUUGCCAAAUUUUGAUUUCAGGGUUUGUUGUUGUGUCUCUCUUUCUUUACAGCAAAAAGGGGUUCACUGUUAAAGGUUAUUCUCCAUCUCUACAACAAAAAGAAGGCUUAUGAAGCAAUUUAAGGUUUCCUAAUGUUGAGAAGAACUAAAAUCUUUCAUUCAGGUCUUUCAUUCAGUGAUGUUUCCUCUUUGAUAUGUAUAUUUGUGUUCUUACUGAUUGUAUGAUUUGUUUAUGUAGCUUGAGAGUAUCUAGAAAGGGAAAGCCUCUUGUAAAGGGAGAAACCAUGCUGCAAGAAAAAUUAGUUUGGAUUCAAGGCUCCUAGACAAGCUAUCAAGGUUUGUGAACCCUUGAAUGCUGAAAAGUGUUAUGUAUCCUCCAAAGUUGUUAUGCUAGUGGGAAUUGGUGAUACAUUUAACAUAAAUUGUUAUGUUUUUUUUCGGCGCAAACUCGGUUGGGGUCAAAUCUCUAAUGUUUGGCUUUCAUAGGAUACUUAUAACACAAUAAGGUCCCACUCAUUCCACCAAAGUUGUUCCAUUUCUUGUUUGUUUAUGUAUUUAACUUGUAGUUAAUGAAAUCCUUCCUUGUGGAAUUUCCUCUACAGAGAACUCAUCUCCUCAAGAACAAAGUUCAGCGGAGAAUUCAAGUUAUAAACUUUGUUGAACCUAUUUGUGGAAACUUUCAAAUGAAUAGAUGGUUUUGUGACUGAAUAUGCGCUUGAUGAUUUGGAAUCUUUUAAAACUGGAAAGUGGGUAUUAAGUAAACAGCUGGGUCUUAUGAUUCAUCCUCAUAGAGUUCGAAAUUCUGAGAUUAUGUCAUGCCUCUUAAUUGGACUUGGGAAUGAGUCAUUUUCUGAAAGCUGCGCAAACGACCAUUUUGGGGCCUAUUUCUGCAUUCUAAUGAAAUUGUUCUUGCUUCUUUUUGCUUACAGGUGUUGAACAAACUUGUGGAUGAUGCAUCAAAGUUUUUGAAUGACAAAGGAUGCUGGAAACUUCUGAUAUUGGUGUUUACAGUUUAGUGUAUCAUCUCAGCGGUUCAUUGUUUUUACAAAUAGCUGAAGAUUAAUCUCACUGUUAAUUCCUUAUUCGCCUUCCUGGAUACUAUCCGAUGUCUGCUUUUCGUGUUGUUAUUGACGUACCACUUGUUGUUAGGAGGCUACACAAAUCCCAGAAAGAGCUAUAAAUGUAUCAAACUUAACAAGUCUUUUCUAUGAGAUGUUAAUGGUUUACACAUCAUUAACAUCUCAUUACUCUUAAUCUAUGAGAUGUUAAUGUUAUUUCCGUGCUCCCUCUCAUUACUCUUAUGUGGGUGUGUGCCCCUACAUCAGCCUUUAACAAAGUGGUAUUAUUCUCAAUGAUGAAGACAGUUGCAGAUUUUCUUAAUUUUGUUUUUAAUGAUAUUUGAUUGUGCAGACAAGAAAGGUUUCAAAGCUGUUUGUUCGUGAUAGAAACAAAUGCCUUCCAACAAUAUUUCAACUAUUGUAUCUGUAAAGCUUGGGUCUCUGUCAGAUGGGGUGGCAUUGGUGAUUGAAGGUCUUGCUAAUAUCAGACAAAGACGCAUGUUUUGAAGACGUAUUACUUAUAGUACCUAAGCAAAUCAAAUCAAAUCGUUUUUGGUUUUAUAUCGUGAAUGGGACCAACCUGUUGUAUCUGUUCAUGUCAAGGUAUCUUAUUCAUUGGGGUUCCUUGACAUGUUCAAGUAUGCCAUUUCAACCAAGAUGGAAGUGCUGAAUUUGAGUCUAGGAGGCCCUAAUUACUCAGCUCUUCCUUUUGUUAAGGUGCUGAUGGCAAGAAAGGUGGUGCUGUUCGUCAAGGUACUCCUUACCCCAAGGGAGGAAAGACCCCUGCAAGUGGAGGCAAGUCAAACAAAUCUCUAAAAUCAGGGGUCUGUUCCAUGCGAUUCUUGUACCAAGACAGUCGGUACAGUUCACAGUCAAGAACUGCAAUAGGUUGUUGGUGUCUAUUAGUUUGUUCAGACACUUAUUUUUUGGUGCUUAGGAAGUUUGUUUUCUUACUUGCAAUCAUAUUUGUUUCCUUGUUCAUAAUGAAUAGAAUGAUUUUUUUGUAAAUGUGUAUGUAUGAAUUGUAAAUUGUGGAUAGUUUGCAAAUUGAGAAUGUUUGACAGAUUGAAAAAUACAAGAUUGCAGGCAUGUGUUUCAGGUUCAGUUGUUGUAUUGCAGGCCUGUGUUUCAGGUUUAAUUGUGCAGGCCUGUAAACGGGAAG